rnacentral:tRNA from 1 species
CAGGGAGACAACAAAAUGUUAAAUAUUAAUUUUGUCACCUUAGGUCGAUCGGUACCUCACAUUCUUAAAUUUAUUGAGAAUUUUAUUUCCUAAGUUUUUUCUAGGUCACACCCAUUACUUUCCCUGGGCCAUUAGCUCAGGUGGUUAGAGCGCACCCCUGAUAAGGGUGAGGUCCCUGGUUCAAGUCCAGGAUGGCCCAUAUCUCUAUGUUGGGGGUAUAGCUCAGUUGGUAGAGCGCCUGCUUUGCAAGCAGGAUGUCAGCGGUUCGAGUCCGCUUACCUCCACUGAUUACCACCUCUUCCAUAAUUUUUAGAAGGGAAAUGUUUUGAGUUGUGAUUAAAUUCUGAACGAAUCUAGCUUCCUAAUUAAAUAUAUUAAGAUGCUGGACUCAUUGAAUUAAUUUCAUUGUUUUCAGAGAACCUUGACAACUGCAUAGAUUAUUUUUAAAGACAAUAAGCAUCUUUAAUGAUGCAGAUUUAUUAUUUGUGCUAAUGCAUUAAUAACAAUUCUAUUAAGCUGAUGCUUCAAUUUUUUGAAGUUAUU